rnacentral:rRNA from 1 species
UACGGAGGGAGCUAGCGUUGUUCGGAAUUACUGGGCGUAAGGCGCACGUAGGCGGCGAUUCAAGUCAGAGGUGAAAGCCCGGGGCUCAACCCCGGAACUGCCUUUGAAACUAGAUUGCUAGAAUCUUGGAGAGGCGAGUGGAAUUCCGAGUGUAGAGGUGAAAUUCGUAGAUAUUCGGAAGAACACCAGUGGCGAAGGCGACUCGCUGGACAAGUAUUGACGCUGAGGUGCGAAAGCGUGGGGAGCAAACAGG